GUCUCUGGCCAUCCGAGUUGUAAUCUAGAGAAGUGUUACCCGCGUCGGACCGUGUAUAAGUCUCCUGGAAUGGAGCGUCAUAGAGGGUGAGAAUCCCGUCUUUGACACGGACUACCGAGGCUUUGUGGUAUGCUCUCAAAGAGUCGAGUUGUUUGGGAAUGCAGCUCAAAAUGGGUGGUAAAUUCCAUCUAAAGCUAAAUAUUGGCGAGAGACCGAUAGCGAACAAGUACCGUGAGGGAAAGAUGAAAAGAACUUUGGAAAGAGAGUUAAACAGUACGUGAAAUUGCUGAAAGGGAAACGCUUGAAGUCAGUCGCGUUGGCCGGGAAUCAGCCUUGCUUUUGCUUGGUGUACUUUCUGGUUGACGGGCCAGCAUCAGUUUUGACCGGUGGAAAAAGUUCAGGGGAAUGUGGCAUCUUCGGGUGUGUUAUAGCCCUUGUUCGUAUACAUCGGUUGGGACUGAGGAACUCAGCACGCCGCAAGGC
rnacentral:rRNA from 1 species